UACGGAGGAUGCGAGCGUUAUCCGGAUUUAUUGGGUUUAAAGGGUGCGUAGGCGGAUCGUUAAGACAGUGGUCAAAUUGAGGGGCUCAACCCCUUCCCGCCAUUGAAACUGGCGCUCUUGAGUGGAAGAGAAGUAUGCGGAAUGCGUGGUGUAGCGGUGAAAUGCGUAGAUAUUAGGAGGAACACCAGUGGCGAAGGCGGCCUGCUGGACGACAACUGACGGUGAGGCGCGAAAGCGUGGGGAGCAAACAGG
rnacentral:rRNA from 1 species